rnacentral:rRNA from 1 species
GAUGAACGCUGGCGGCGUGCCUAAUACAUGCAAGUCGAGCGAACGGACGAGGAGCUUGCUUCUCUGAUGUUAGCGGCGGAGGGGUGUGUAACACGUGGAUAACCUACCUGUAAGACUGGGAUAACUUGGGGAAACCGGAGAUAAUAGGGGAGGAUAUUUUGAAGCGCAGGGGUGAAUGGUGAGAGACGGUGUUGCUGGCAGGUAUAGAUGGAUCUGCGCUGGUUUCGCUGGUUGGGAAGGUAAAGGGUUAUCAAGGCAACGAUGCCUAGCCGAGGUGCGGGGGUGAUCGCCCACACUGGAACUUGACCACGGUCCAGACGCCUACGGGACGCCGCAGUAGGCAACCUUACGCAAUGGGCGAAAACCUGACGGAGCAACGCCACGUCAGUGAUGGAGGCCUUCCGUGCGUAAAACCCUGUUACUAGGUAUGAACCUAUGUGUACGUUGCUGUGCACAUCUUGACGGUACCUAAUCAGAAAGCCACGGCUAACUACGUG